GCUGACGCUAGUACCAAGUUCC
rnacentral:miRNA from 2 species